rnacentral:rRNA from 1 species
CCUACGGGAGGCAGCAGUGAGGAAUAUUGGUCAAUGGUCGGGAGACUGAACCAGCCAAGUCGCGUGAGGGAGUAAGGUACUGAGUAUUGUAAACCUCUUUUGUCAGGGAACAAAGGCGGGGACGCGUCCCCGGAUGAGGGUACCUGAAGAAAAGGCAUCGGCUAACUCCGUGCCAGCAGCGGCGGUAAUACGGAGGAUGCGAGCGUUAUCCGGAUUUAUUGGGUUUAAGGGGUGCGCAGGCGGUCUGUUAAGUCAGCGGUAAAUGCGCGGGGGUCAACCCCCGCCAGCCGUGGAAACUGGGGGUCUAGAGUUGGAGAGAAGUAUGCGGAAGGCGCGGUGUAGCGGUGAAAUGCAUAGAUAUCGCGCAGAACUCCGAUUGAGAAGGCAGCAUACCGGCUCCCCAGUGACGCUGAGGCACGAAAGCGUGGGUAUCGAACAGGAUUAGAUACCCGAGUAGUC